GAUGAACGCUGGCGGCGUGCCUAAUACAUGCAAGUCGAGCGAACAGACGAGGAGCUUGCUCCUCUGACGUUAGCGGCGGACGGGUGAGUAACACGUGGUUAACCUACCUAUAAGACUGGGAUAACUUCGGGAAACCGGAGCUAAUACCGGAUAAUAUAUUGAACCGCAUGGUUCAAUAGUGAAAGACGGUUUUGCUGUCGCUUAUAGAUGGAUCCGCGCCGCAUUAGCUAGUUGGUAAGGUAACGGCUUACCAAGGCAACGAUGCGUAGCCGACCUGAGAGGGUGAUCGGCCACACUGGAACUGAGACACGGUCCAGACUCCUACGGGAGGCAGCAGUAGGGAAUCUUCCGCAAUGGGCGAAAGCCUGACGGAGCAACGCCGCGUGAGUGAUGAAGGUCUUCGGAUCGUAAAACUCUGUUAUUAGGGAAGAACAAAUGUGUAAGUAACUAUGCACGUCUUGACGGUACCUAAUCAGAAAGCCACGGCUAACUACGUG
rnacentral:rRNA from 1 species